AUAUUUUUUCAGUGACUUAAUAGGUUAAAGAUUAUUUAUAAAUUGAUACAAAUUUCAACAUAGAUCACAAGAUGCCGAAAAAUUUUCUGUGUCCUUUGAUGCUGGAUGGCAGACUAGAGGUAGCGGUCGAAACUAUGCAAGUUUGUCAGGGCAUGCGAGUAUGAUUGGAGAGAAGACAGGAAAAAUUCUUUCAUAUGCUGUUCGGUGCAAGAAAUGCAGAUUCUGUGAUAAAGCACCAGUAUCAGCAGAAGUGAAUAAACAUGAUUGUAGAAGAAAUUGGGAAAAAUCCUCAAAGGCAAUGGAACCAGAUAUGGCUUUAGAAAUGUUGCAUGACUUAAAAGCGCGUGACUUCCAUGUAAAACAUCUUAUAAUGGAUAAUGACUCAACAACCUUAGCCAAGGCAAAAAUGUCUUUUGAUCCAAAUAUCCAAAAAAUUUCGGAUUUUAAUCAUACAAAAAAAAAUCUGGCAAGUAAACUCUAUGACAUCAAAAAGGAGAAAAAGUAUCCUCUUCUAGGUCCAAAAUCCAUUCAACAUUUACUAAAAUGUUUUUCAUAUGCUGUUAAAUCCAACGAAGACACAGACACUUAAAAGAGAAAUUUAGACUCUAUUCCUCUCCAUGUAUUUGGAAACCACAAGAAAUGUGAAAAAAAGUGGUGUAAAUAUCUACAGGACCCAGAUAAUUAUAAACCCAUAAAUUUACCAUAUGGAAAAUAUCUUUCUGGAGGGGAUUUACUCAAAGAUUUACAGCAUCUGUUCAGUGAUUUAGCUAAAAAUGCAAGUAAACUUUCCAAUAUUGGAAGCACUCAGGCAAAUGAAAACUUCAACAAAAUAGUUGCCUGCAAAAAUCCCAAAGCAUUAUAUUACAGUGGAUCUGAGAGCACAUCCUUUAGAGUAGCAGCGGCUGUUGCACAUAAGAAUAUUGGACAUCUGACAAUUGGAAAGGUUUAUGAUACUUUGAUGCUCUCGCCAGGGAUGCACACAAAUGUACAUGAAAGG